UUUCCUUUUCCUUUCUUUUUGUAUUUCAUUUCUAUUCCUUAAAACAUUGGGGACAAUGUUUCAUUUAAGUAUGGGGGGGAAAACCGUGUUCUUUCUAUCCUCCUUUUUCUUUUUCUUUUUUUCAAGUAUGUAUCUUUCUUUUCAUUGUUAUUUCCCUUAUAAAAAAAAAAUAUAUUUCAUAUAAUAUAGAUUUAUUUUAAGUCAAGUCCCAAGUGUGAAAAAUUCCAAUUAUCUAUUCCCUCAAAAAUUU
rnacentral:lncRNA from 1 species